CCCGAUGAACGCUGGCAGUGUGCCUAAUACAUGCAAGUCGAACGCGUUGGCCCAAUUGAGUGAUGGUGCUUGCACCUGAUUGAUAUUGGUCGCCAACGAGUGGCGGACGGGUGAGUAACACGUAGGUAACCUGCCCAGAAGCGGGGGACAACAUUUGGAAACAGAUGCUAAUACCGCAUAACAACGUUGUUCGCAUGAACAACGCUUAAAAGAUGGCUUCUCGCUAUCACUUCUGGAUGGACCUGCGGUGCAUUAGCUUGUUGGUGGGGUAACGGCUUACCAAGGCGAUGAUGCAUAGCCGAGUUGAGAGAGUGAUCGGCCACAAUGGGAAUGAGACACGGCCCAUACUCCUACGGGAGGCAGCAGUAGGGAAUCUUCCACAAUGGGCGCAAGCCUGAUGGAGCAACACCGCGUGAGUGAAGAAGGGUUUCGGCUCGUAAAGCUCUGUUGUUAAAGAAGAACACGUAUGAGAGUAACUGUUCAUACGUUGACGGUAUUUAACCAGAAAGUCACGGCUAACUACGUGCCAGCAGCCGCGGUAAUACGUAGGUGGCAAGCGUUAUCCGGAUUUAUUGGGCGUAAAGAGAGUGCAGGCGGUUUUCUAAGUCUGAUGUGAAAGCCUUCGGCUUAACCGGAGAAGUGCAUCGGAAACUGGAUAACUUGAGUGCAGAAGAGGGUAGUGGAACUCCAUGUGUAGCGGUGGAAUGCGUAGAUAUAUGGAAGAACACCAGUGGCGAAGGCGGCUACCUGGUCUGCAACUGACGCUGAGACUCGAAAGCAUGGGUAGCGAACAGGAUUAGAUACCCUGGUAGUCCAUGCCGUAAACGAUGAGUGCUAGGUGUUGGAGGGUUUCCGCCCUUCAGUGCCGGAGCUAACGCAUUAAGCAUUCCGCCCUUGGGAUCGCCCCGCG
rnacentral:rRNA from 2 species